UGGCAUCAUUUUGAAAGAAGACAAGCGGCAAAUCUGACUCAAAUUCUGCCUUCGUCCGAGUCGUCCCAUGGACAGUGCACCACGCAGCUGAGUGGACGUAACGUUAGAGAAGCCAAUGGACCUCACAAUGAAAGACCCUGGAGAAGAUUUUCUCAAGAUGUAUGGUUGUUCACAGCCUUCUUCAGAUGAUACAAGUCCAAGAAACACAGUGGUUGAAUCAAAGCAGAAGAUCAAAGACCUGAAAGAAGAGAAUGCUAAACUGAAUGAGUUGAUGUGCAGGAGCUCCUAAGGACCAUGAAGGAUAUAAUUGAUUUGGCUGCACCUCCUAAGAGAUCCAGGUUGGAGCAUUCCACACCACCACUGCCCCCCCAGAGUUCUCCGCAGUCCAGGCACAGUUCUUCAUCUGCCAGUUCACUGCAGUCCCUCCCCAGAUCUGCGCCAUCCAGUGUCACAUCACUAAUGGACUCCAAGUCUUCGAAGGUGGAGAUCCAUCCUGGGACUGGAGUCAUGAUUGAGAAACUGGCGUGGGCCUAUGCCCUGAAUGCAAAUUCUGUGACAGUAUUUGUGAGGCAUCUGCUGACGGCAGUCUUCCCAGUGGAGAUACUGUUGGUGAGCAAUCUUCGAGGGGGCAAACGAGGCGGAGGACAUGCUCGUCAACCACUGGACAAAAAUAAAUUAGAUGCCAUUUACAGUACGUUUUCAGCUUUUCAUGUUAUGCGUUAUGCCAGUAGACCAAUGCUGUUAUUGUAUUUCCUCACUUCAGACAAGGAACUUAAAAGAAGAAAGAGUCAUUAUAUCAUACCAACAUUUUACGGUGACAGAUUUUAAUGCCAGUUGUGUUGAAUUCUAUGGGAGAUGCAUUUAGAACAUAACAACCCAACAUAUUUACGUUGUUGUUAUUAAAGAAAUGCUGAAUACCAUUAAUACCAAAUGGAGAAAUGUAAUUUAUAGAAUACUAUAUGGUUGUCCUUUUUUCCUUUUCCUUGUACAGGGGUAAUAUUGGUCUUCUCAUGACAUGCCAUUGUAGGCUAUCCUCUGCUGUUUUAAGUGCCCUUAACACAUUUAGUAAGCAUUUUGUCGUUUGAAGUAUAUUUUUUUAUUUGAUAGAGACAUUUGGGCAUCAGAGUUCAUACAACAUGAUAUUUUUCAUUUUAGUAAACUUCUCCAUGCAAAUCCCAUACACUAUAUUGGAUGAUAGAUAGAUAGAUGAUAGAUGGUGGAUAAGUCAGUGGAAAUAAUUGUGGCAGUGGUAAAUACCAGUUAUAUCAGUGAUUAAGUAAGUGAUUGUGCGAAAUUGGGUUGAUUUGUGUUUUUCCAUUGUAAAACAACCUAACAAGUUGGCUUCAUAGAUAACAGCUUUGCAUCUACAAAACCGGGACACACAGGGGUUUGGGAUCUGGCUUUGGGUGAGACAGUAAUGACACAAAAAAUACAGGAAUGCUGAUGCAACACCACAAACAUUAUCCACCUCGAAUUAAGUUCAUUGUUGUCAUAAUGACAAGCUUAUUUGUAGCCAAGCUUUUUUAGGGAGAAAUUGUUAUAAGUGGGCUGGUUUUUGAUCUCCCUAAUUUUGCACAUGAAUGUUCUCAAGAAAUUUUGGGAAUUUCCAAACUUGGUGGUUUAGUUAACUCUGUAAAGAGAUGUGAUUUAUUGACAUACAGAGCUCUGACUGAAUGCUAGCAAUAUUUAACUGUUCAUUGCUGCUAAUAAAGUCUAUUAAAUUAAAUGUUUGCCUA
ensembl:lncRNA